rnacentral:lncRNA from 1 species
UGAGGUUUUUCCUGAAUUGGACAAACUAUUCUGACGUCGCAUAAAUUACAUCCAGCAUGAUUUAAGUUUUAUCUACUGACAGAAACCAACUGGGACUGACCUGAUUUUCUGUGUUGAUUAAUCAAAUGUUAUGGUUCGAACUCGUUGAUACCUCUCAGCUGAAAAAACUUCAAAGGCCUAUUGUUUUAAUCGUGUGGGGGAAUGCUUCUUUAAAUCGCAACUAGUUAACAAACCUUCCAGGGUAACUAGGGCACUCAGGCUCUGCCAAACAUAAGUGAUCCACGAUGGUUACUCAAAGCGGCGUAGGAAGAAGCCUGGAAGGGGAGGCAAGGGAUGCGGAUUCUACUGCUCGCUUGAGCUGGACCGUGCCUCCUUAAGAUUUCCUGAGAGUAGACACCUAAGGAAACGGAAGUUUGUAAGAGGACUAAAAGCAAAGUGGUUAACCCCUCUUGCUAAAUAUAAUCCCCCCACUCAAAGCAAGCAAGCCAACAAACAAUGCGUUUACGUACCUCCUAUACAAAGGGGGCCUCAAACCCGGAAGCCACCGGAUUCAGCGAGUGGAAAAUGAAGAGCGUUCUGAAGAUCUUUUAAACACAGGGGUUAAGUUUAUGGCAACUUAUUUAUAAGCUCAUGAAGUUAUCACCAGGUUGUAAUGAAGUACAAAUCAAGAGAUUAAUCGAGGAAAAAUCGCAUCACAGCAGUUCUGGCUUCUACUGCACGCCAGCGGGACUUAGAAGUUCUUGCAGCCAGUGCGUUGGCACCUAGAGCAUUAUCGAGUGGCUUGUGGUGAAGGCCUU